GGUUAAGUGAAUAAGGGCGCACGGUGGAUGCCUUGGCACUAGGAGCCGAUGAAGGACGGGACUAACACCGAUAUGCUUUGGGGAGCUGUACGUAAGCUAUGAUCCAGAGAUUUCCGAAUGGGGGAACCCAACAUCUUUAAUAGGAUGUUACGAUUGUGUGAAUACAUAGCACAUUCGAGGUAGACGCAGAGAACUGAAACAUCUAAGUACCUGCAGGAAGAGAAAGAAAAUUCGAUUCCCUGAGUAGCGGCGAGCGAAACGGGAAAAGCCCAAACCAGCAAGCUUGCUUGUUGGGGUUGUAGGACUCCAAUAUGGUAGUUCUUUCAGAUAGUCGAAUGACUUGGAAAAGUCAGUCAAAGAGGGUAAAAACCCCGUAGACGAAAUGUGGAAGACACCUAGGAGGAUCCUGAGUACGGCGGAACACGAGAAAUUCCGUCGGAAUCCGGGAGGACCAUCUCCCAAGGCUAAAUACUCCCUAGUGACCGAUAGUGAACCAGUACCGUGAGGGAAAGGUGAAAAGCACCCCGGAAGGGGAGUGAAAUAGAACCUGAAACCGUGUGCCUACAACAAGUCAAAGCCCGUUAAUGGGUGAUGGCGUGCCUUUUGUAGAAUGAACCGGCGAGUUACGAUUGCAUGCGAGGUUAAGUUGAAGAGACGGAGCCGCAGCGAAAGCGAGUCUGAAUAGGGCGUUUGAGUAUGUAGUCGUAGACCCGAAACCAUGUGAUCUACCCAUGUCCAGGUUGAAGGUGCGGUAAAACGCACUGGAGGACCGAACCCACGUACGUUGAAAAGUGCGGGGAUGAGGUGUGGGUAGCGGAGAAAUUCCAAACGAACUUGGAGAUAGCUGGUUCUCUCCGAAAUAGCUUUAGGGCUAGCCUCGGAAUUGAGAAUGAUGGAGGUAGAGCACUGUUUGGACUAGGGGCCCAUCUCGGGUUACCGAAUUCAGAUAAACUCCGAAUGCCAUUCAUUCAUAUCCGGGAGUCAGACUGUGAGUGAUAAGAUCCAUAGUCGAAAGGGAAACAGCCCAGACCACCAGCUAAGGUCCCAAAAUAUAUGUUAAGUGGAAAAGGAUGUGGGGUUGCACAGACAACUAGGAUGUUGGCUUAGAAGCAGCCACCAUUUAAAGAGUGCGUAAUAGCUCACUAGUCGAGUGACCCUGCGCCGAAAAUGUACCGGGGCUAAACAUAUUACCGAAGCUGUGGAGUACACCUUUAGGUGUAUUGGUAGGAGAGCGUUCUAAGGGCGUUGAAGGCAGAUCGUGAGGACUGCUGGAGCGCUUAGAAGUGAGAAUGCCGGUAUGAGUAGCGAAAGACAGGUGAGAAUCCUGUCCACCGAAUGACUAAGGUUUCCUGGGGAAGGCUCGUCCGCCCAGGGUUAGUCGGGACCUAAGCCGAGGCCGACAGGCGUAGGCGAUGGAUAACAGGUUGAUAUUCCUGUACCCGUUGUUUUUGUUUGAGCAAUGGAGGGACGCAGGAGGCUAAGGAAUGCAGACGAUCGGAAAUGUCUGUCCAAGCAGUAAGUCUGAAGA
rnacentral:rRNA from 1 species